UGACAAUGUGGAGUCUCGAGUCAAGGC
rnacentral:piRNA from 1 species